AUUUAUGUCUAACAAGGUUUUCCUCAUAAUUGCAACUUAUUCCAGGUAUGUCUUCAUUUAUGCUAGACUGAUGAAUUAAUGAAUGGAAUCUCACACAGGAAUAUUAUUUUCAUUAUUACAGAAAAAUAGUUCCUGUGAGUAAACUUUCUUCUCUUUAACACAUGUUUAUGUUUGAAGUGUUACACUGUGACUGGAAUCAAGACCCCAAUACCACUUCCUUCUUUAUUGGGCUGUACAUGUAAUUCUCUAUUUUAGGGUGUAAAUUCCGUUUGUCGCUGCCACCCGGUCAUUUUUGAUGAACAGGUGCAUGCUAGAACAAGUAUAUAAAUCAUGGAAAUUGUCAAAAUUUUAACACCACUAAACGUUAACAUUGUCUCUUGUGGAAAAUUAGUGUGGGUAAAAUUCCGGCUACAGACAAGGAUUAUGUACAUCCGGGUUACAGCCAGCCGGAGUUGCAUGUUAACCCCUGUCAGUCUGUGUAAACUAAACAGUUUGUUCAGUCUUACUGGGGCGUUCUACUCUCUGUGUAUGUCAACCUCUCGUACAUAGUUGUAUGUAAGUGUGUCACACAAGCCUUGUAACGCCCAGACGAGAAAAAAAGGCACACAAAAAAGUGUCCCACUUAAAUUCUGAUACACAGAGCUAGGCCUACGCAGUAGACAGCCCAGCUCUCCUCCCUUUCCCUGUACAUCACGAAGUAUACUCAUUCCGCUAACGAAGUCGUCAACAUGUUAUGUGUGACGGAAAAGUCACUGUAUCAGACCGUUCAAGUACUCAGUUGUCCGUUUGCUCAUGUCAACUCACCCGUGUUCAGAGCCGUGGUGUAAUCUGUCCAUGCACUUCAUCGAGACACUUUUCCAGCUUGAUUCGCCCCAGUUUUAUCUUUCGUUUCGUGAGGCCCUGUGCUGAGUUUCAUCAAGUUGUGAUUGGUUUCGUGAGGUAGUGCUGACUUUCAUUAAGUUGUGAUCUGUUUCGUCUCGCUCUACUGAGUUUUCUCAAUUUGUUUUCAGUUUUGUCAAGCUGUGCUGAUUUUUUUUCAAGACAUGCCCGGUUUCGUUCAGCUGUGAGGAGUUGUCGUCGUUGUAGAGAGUGUCGUGAAGUUGUGUUCGAUUUCGAGUUCGAGUUUUAUGAAUUCACGUCCGGUUUCUGGAAGGUGUAUUCAGUUCUAUCAAACGGUUUCUUCAGGUUGCGUUAAGUGUCAAGACCUUCUGAGCUUUUCCCUGGUGUGAAUGUCAAGCUCACGUCCGCUUCUUCAUCAUAUUUAUGCGCCUCCUGCACUUGUGCCCUCUUCAGCUAAUGGGCAUUCAUGAUUUCAUCCCAGAGUUUUCAGUUCCACCAAAUGUCCACAGUUUUGGUUUCGUCAUGUUAAUUCAGAUUUCAUCCAAGUGUUUACAGUUUCAUCGAAUACAUAUAGUUCUGGUUUUGCCAUGUUAAUCCUGAUUUCACCCAAGUGUAUACAGUAUCAUCAAAUGUACGUAGUUCUGGUUUCGUCACGUUAAUCCAGAUUUCAUCCAAGUGUUUACAGUUUCAUCGAAUACAUAUAGUUCUUGUUUUGCCAUGUUAAUCCUGAUUUCAUCCAAGUGUAUACAGUAUCAUCAAAUGUACGUAGUUCUGGUUUCGUCACGUUAAUCCUGAUUUCAUCCAAGUGUUUACAGUUUCAUCAAAUGUACAUACGUCUGGUUUUGCCAUGUUAAUCCUGAUUUUAUCUAAAUAUAUACAGUAUCAUCAAAUGUACAUAGUUCUGGUUUCGUCACGUGAAUCGUGGUAUGUUUCAUCGACAGCAGGUGAAUAGCAGUUGCACGAGCAUUGUGUUACUGCUUAUGCUAUCUGAAUGUGUCUGUGUCUCUUGUUUCACCGAUCUCUUGCUAGUUUCACUGCCUUCAUGUAGUUUCCCCAACCUCUUGGCCGUUUAAUUAAUCUCUUUAUAUAUUCACCGUCCCAUUCCCAGUUUAACUGUCCUCUUCCCAGUUUCGCUGUCUUCAUGGUAGUUUUACCAACUUCUUUUCCGUUUCAUCGAUCUUUUUAUAGAUCCUCAUCCGAGUUUCACCGCCCUCAGGUUCACCUCCACUUUUCCUGCAUGCGCAUGGCUAGACAGGUGUGAGCGACAAUGACUUGUUCAUUCUAUACACACGGAGCUUAUGUCUACUUUAGGUCAAAUAAUAGCCCGUUUUCGGGCUGGUUUGUCUGCCUCAGUUUGUCUUUUCUGGUCAUCGCGCAGGCUGUUCAAGGUGUGGCCCCCACCCUAAACAACGCGGGAUGUCACAGUACCGUAUCAGUCUUAAAACUAGUAAACGUUACCACAGCGGAAGCCGUGGUGAAGUCGUACAGCGUAAGGCAGUCCGUGUCGUGUGGACUAUGGAGUCUAGGACGUUGUACCCGAUACAGUCUACAGUACAGAAUUGUUUACGAGACCAAACUGAGGCUGCGCACAGAGACUCACUACAGUAAGUCAUGCUGUCCAGGCUGGAAGGGAGACAACUGUGAUAUAGGUACAACGACAUAUGGGACAACAAAAACAACAACAACAACCACAACAAUGCCACCAACAACAAGAACAACACCUCCACGAACAACAAGAACAAUACCACCAAUACUGACAACAAGAACAGUACCACCAACACUAACAACAAGAACAGUACCACCAAUACUAACAACAAGACCAACACAACGGCAAACAACAGAUAUAAGAAGAACAUCCCCGCUAACAACAACACCCAUACAAACACUGCCAGCAAGUACAGUAGGUCCAUGGCCGACACAAAGAACCACGUCAUCACUGCCCCUCCAAAACCUCAUUCCCCUUGACCUGGACUCAAGCUGCAACAACUUCGACUUUGACUGAUAAAGUAACAACGUGGACAACCUUGUCAACCUUCCAGUCAUCUGAAUCAACACCAACAACGCCUUCAUCUGUUUGUGGCGUCGAGACACCGAAAUCCCAGGUACUGUCACACGACCAAAAUCUGCAGGCAGUUCCAGCCAACAUAACCUUCGUUUGUCAAGUCCUGUUUUUUUACCACCGCGAAAAGCAACCGACGGAAAUCGUCUGGCUGGUUAAUGGUGUGCCUGUCACGACACUGUUCGAGGUGGACAUCAUGGAGGGCUUGGGAGAGAGCAUAGCUGGAGAAAGAGUUAGAGGCAUUCGAGUAAUUUCCAUCCUCACGGUUGUGAACGCUUCUGUCUGUAUGGCAGGGGAGUAUGUGUGCCAGGCCAGGGUGGGGCAGUGCAAACACAACAACAGUGUCUAUCUGGGAUGUCCUAAAUUCCCCAGCUUUUCACAUACACAGUAUAACUUUGGAAACAGUUGUUGCCCAGAGAUAGUACCAGUGAAAAUGCAAUCGAUUCCCCUAUCCACCCCAAUCAAUAUUGCAGCUCCCGCUGUCCUGGCUGGUCUCUUGGCUCUUGUCGCGAUAGUUUUGCCAAUUGUCGUCUAUAAACGCAGUCGCGCCAUUCAAAUUUGGUUCAAGUACUGGUUUGGAGCUUUUGAGGACGACGAUGGCAAAUUGUACGACGUCUACGUAUCCUUUGACAUUGAGGACCAGACCGUUUUACGUUUUGUCCUGUGUAACAUUCGGGAGUUUUUGCAACAAAAUGACUACACGGCUUUCGUGUUUCCUGUGGACUCCCAGCCAGGGAUGAGCACGGUUCCUAACGUCGACGGGGCUUAGCAAAACAUCCACAUAAAUUAGAUGGAGACCUGCGCAGCGAAAGGAACCUUACAAAUGAAAGUUAAUUGGGCACUAAUGCAAAUCACCAAACACAAGCGGUUUACACCCUUAACCGCAAGUCUGACAAUAUAGUAGAAGCCAUGAAUCAGUGCCGACGAGUGAUGGUCAUUUUUAGCCAGAGUUAUCGUUCUUGUGAGUGGUGCCGCUUUGAAUUCCUAACAGCUCAAAGACUGUUCAUUGGCGAACGUUUGAAGAUUAUACCUGUUCUUCUUGGAGAAACCAACAAACGUAUUUUAAAAGACGACGAUUUUUCAACUGUGCUGAAAUUUAUCCCAUCCAUCCACAUGUCUACAGACUGUGAAAGUCCACUUUCACCCUCAGCAUCGAAACAGUUAAAACUGCGCAUGCCCAGAAAACGAAGAAAAGAAGCAUGCCGUAGGAGCUGCAGUAUGGAGCUACGAACUUGUAGGUUGCAGUCAUAACAUUUUGUCUGGAGAACAAUACUCUGCACCUACCCUACUAUAGCUAGAGACCCAAUCAAUAAAGACCGAAACAAUAAACCCAAUCAAUAAAGACCAUGAAUGUAUCCACCGGACGACGUUUCAUCCUUAAUAGCUGAAGACUGAAGUCUUGCAGAAACAAACUUUGUUCUUUCUCGGCUAAAAUAUGUCGCUCGUUUAAAAGCAAGCAUAACCUGCACUGAUUUGCUGUUCGAUGUAUUUAUGUAUAUAUGUAUGCUUGGGGUUUAACUUCGACUCGGAAAUGCUUUUUCAGUCCUAUUGAUAUUUCAAAACUACGGAACACUUAGCUAAUGUAUGGUACGAUUGUUAACCCUAGAAUGUGCUCUCAUAACCUUGCCGGUUUGCUCCCCCCCACCCCCCACCCCCAUCCCACCAAAUAAUAAAUGCCGUCCCAAUUCAGGAACUAAUAAUCCACAGCACACGCUAGACACCGAAUUACUUGGAGUCAAAACCAACAUUCCAAUACCAAUAAUGGAUGCUCCACACCAAUUUCCAAAACAACGAUCAACACAAGAAAACUAGGAUGGAUUCAUGUAAGGAGAAAUACAGAAGCAGUUUCAGCGGUGCCUGACUCAUUUGCCAUGGACAUUAGCCUUUAUUGAUGUAAUUUUGGGUGAACCUUCUACUUACCAUUGUUCACACUUGUUGCAUGAAAACAUUUCACCUUUGACGAGGACUUUCUCGAAGAAAAUGUACUUACUCAUUUCCUUUCUGACCAUCUCCACCGGGACCAUUUAAUGGCUGUCAUGAAACAGUCGAUUAAACAUGACGCAAGAAGGGCUGCCCCAAUUACGUGGGUCUAAAUAAAAUGGAAAUGGCGGGUCAAAAACAAGGAGUAUUUUUAUGUGAUUUGAAUGAAUGCUUGGGUUUAACGUCAUACUUAACAAUAUUUC